GACGAACGCUGGCGGCGUGCUUAACACAUGCAAGUCGAACGAAGUGGCGAACGGGUGAGUAACGCGUAAUCAAACUGCCCUUCAGAGGGGGACAACAGUGGGAAACGACUGCUAAAACCGCAUACUGAGGGAGGGGAUGGCGUCGGAUUAGCUAGUUGGAGGGGUAACGGCCCACCAAGGCGAUGAUCAGUAGCCGGUCUGCGAGGAUGACCGGCCACAUUGGGACUGAGACACGGCCCAGACUCCUACGGUAGGCAGCAGUGGGGAAUCUUCCGCAAUGGACGAAAGUCUGACGGAGCAACGCCGCGUGAGUGAUGACGGCCUUCGGGUUGUAAAGCUCUGUUAAUCGGGACGCGGUACCGGAAUAGAAAGCCACGGCUAACUACGUGCCAGCAGCCGCGGUAAUAC
rnacentral:rRNA from 1 species